UACGGAGGGGGCUAGCGUUGUUCGGAAUUACUGGGCGUAAAGCGCACGUAGGCGGCUUUGUAAGUUAGAGGUGAAAGCCCGGGGCUCAACCCCGGAAUCGCCUUUAAGACUGCAUCGCUUGAAUCCGGGAGAGGUGAGUGGAAUUCCGAGUGUAGAGGUGAAAUUCGUAGAUAUUCGGAAGAACACCAGUGGCGAAGGCGGCUCACUGGACCGGCAUUGACGCUGAGGUGCGAAAGCGUGGGGAGCAAACAGG
rnacentral:rRNA from 1 species